AUUGAACGCUGGCGGAAUGCUUUACACAUGCAAGUCGAACGGUAGAGGGGGCAACCCCUCGAGAGUGGCGAACGGGUGAGUAAUAUAUCGGAACGUGCCCAGUCGUGGGGGAUAACGUAGCGAAAGUUACGCUAAUACCGCAUACGAUCUAAGGAUGAAAGCGGGGGAUCGCAAGACCUCGCGCGAUUGGAGCGGCCGAUAUCAGAUUAGGUAGUUGGUGGGGUAAAGGCUCACCAAGCCAACGAUCUGUAGCUGGUCUGAGAGGACGGCCAGCCACCCUGGAAAUGAGGAACGGUCCAGACUCCUACGGGAGGCAGGAGUGGGGAAUUUUGGACAAUGGACGCAAGUCUGAUCCAGCCAUUCCGCGUGCAGGAUGAAGGCCCUCGGGUUGUAAACUGCUUUUGUACGAAACGAAAAGGUCUCUCUUAAUACGGGGGACUCAUGACGGUACCGUAAGAAUAAGCACCGGCUAACUACGUGCCAGCAGCCGCCGUAA
rnacentral:rRNA from 1 species